rnacentral:rRNA from 2 species
AGAGUUUGAUCCUGGCUCAGGAUGAACGCUGGCGGCGUGCCUAAUACAUGCAAGUCGAACGAGUUCUGAUUAUUGAAAGGUGCUUGCAUCUUGAUUUAAUUUUGAACGAGUGGCGGACGGGUGAGUAACACGUGGGUAACCUGCCCUUAAGUGGGGGAUAACAUUUGGAAACAGAUGCUAAUACCGCAUAAAUCCAAGAACCGCAUGGUUCUUGGCUGAAAGAUGGCGUAAGCUAUCGCUUUUGGAUGGACCCGCGGCGUAUUAGCUAGUUGGUGAGGUAACGGCUCACCAAGGCAAUGAUACGUAGCCGAACUGAGAGGUUGAUCGGCCACAUUGGGACUGAGACACGGCCCAAACUCCUACGGGAGGCAGCAGUAGGGAAUCUUCCACAAUGGACGCAAGUCUGAUGGAGCAACGCCGCGUGAGUGAAGAAGGCUUUCGGGUCGUAAAACUCUGUUGUUGGAGAAGAAUGGUCGGCAGAGUAA